rnacentral:misc_RNA from 1 species
GAUGAAGAACGUAGCGAAAUGCGAUAAGUAAUGUGAAUUGCAGAAUUCAGUGAAUCAUCGAAUCUUUGAACGCACAUUGCGCCCGCCAGUAUUCUGGCGAGCAUGCCUGUUCGAGCGUAAUUUCAACCAUCAAGCCCCAGGCUUGUGUUGGAGCCCUGCGGCUGCCGCAGCCUCCCAAAACCAGUGGCGGGCUCGCUAUCACACCGAGUGCAGUAGUUUACUCUUCGCUCAGGGCGUGUGGCGGGUGCUAGCCGUGAAACCCCCAACUUCUCAAGGUUGACCUCGGAUCAGGUAGGAAUACCCGCUGAACUUAAGCAUAUCAAUAAGCGGAGGA